rnacentral:rRNA from 1 species
AGUGAACGCUGGCGGUAGGCCUAACACAUGCAAGUCGAACGGCAGCACAGGAGAGCUUGCUCUCUGGGUGGCGAGUGGCGGACGGGUGAGGAAUACAUCGGAAUCUACCUUUUCGUGGGGGAUAACGUAGGGAAACUUACGCUAAUACCGCAUACGACCUAAGGAUGAGAGUGGGGAUCGCAAGACCUCACGCUCCUGGA